rnacentral:rRNA from 1 species
CAGGCUUAACACAUGCAAGUCGAGGGGCAGCAUUUUAGUUUGCUUGCAAACUGAAGAUGGCGACCGGCGCACGGGUGAGUAACACGUAUCCAACCUGCCGAUAACUCCGGAAUAGCCUUUCGAAAGAAAGAUUAAUACCGGAUAGCAUACGAAUAUCGCAUGAUAUUUUUAUUAAAGAAUUUCGGUUAUCGAUGGGGAUGCGUUCCAUUAGUUUGUUGGCGGGGUAACGGCCCACCAAGACUACGAUGGAUAGGGGUUCUGAGAGGAAGGUCCCCCACAUUGGAACUGAGACACGGUCCAAACUCCUACGGGAGGCAGCAGUGAGGAAUAUUGGUCAAUGGGCGAGAGCCUGAACCAGCCAAGUAGCGUGAAGGAUGAAGGCUCUAUGGGUCGUAAACUUCUUUUAUAUGGGAAUAAAGUUUUCCACGUGUGGAAUUUUGUAUGUACCAUAUGAAUAAGGAUCGGCUAACUCCGUGCCAGCAGCCGCGGUAAUACGGAGGAUCCGAGCGUUAUCCGGAUUUAUUGGGUUUAAAGGGAGCGUAGGUGGAUUGUUAAGUCAGUUGUGAAAGUUUGCGGCUCAACCGUAAAAUUGCAGUUGAAACUGGCAGUCUUGAGUACAGUAGAGGUGGGCGGAAUUCGUGGUGUAGCGGUGAAAUGCUUAGAUAUCACGAAGAACUCCGAUUGCGAAGGCAGCUCACUAGACUGUCACUGACACUGAUGCUCGAAAGUGUGGGUAUCAAACAGGAUUAGAUACCCUGGUAGUCCACACAGUAAACGAUGAAUACUCGCUGUUUGCGAUAUACAGUAAGCGGCCAAGCGAAAGCAUUAAGUAUUCCACCUGGGGAGUACGCCGGCAACGGUGAAACUCAAAGGAGUUGACGGGGGCCCGCACAAGCGGAGGAACAUGUGGUUUAAUUCGAUGAUACGCGAGGAACCUUACCCGGGCUUAAAUUGCAACAGAAUAUAUUGGAAACAGUAUAGCCGUAAGGCUGUUGUGAAGGUGCUGCAUGGUUGUCGUCAGCUCGUGCCGUGAGGUGUCGGCUUAAGUGCCAUAACGAGCGCAACCCUUAUCUUUAGUUACUAACAGGUCAUGCUGAGGACUCUAGAGAGACUGCCGUCGUAAGAUGUGAGGAAGGUGGGGAUGACGUCAAAUCAGCACGGCCCUUACGUCCGGGGCUACACACGUGUUACAAUGGGGGGUACAGAAGGCGGCUACCUGGUGACAGGAUGCUAAUCCCAAAAACCUCUCUCAGUUCGGAUCGAAGUCUGCAACCCGACUUCGUGAAGCUGGAUUCGCUAGUAAUCGCGCAUCAGCCAUGGCGCGGUGAAUACGUUCCCGGGCCUUGUACACACCGCCCGUCAAGCCAUGAAAGCCGGGGGUACCUGAAGUACGUAACCGCAAGGAGCGUCCUAGGGUAAAACUGGUAAUUGGGGCUAAG